GGGGAGCCAGUGAAUCAGUGAGUGCCUUUGGUGUUGCUUAAGAAGUUAAGAGGAAAAAAAAAGUGGAUCGAGUUGCUAUCACCUAGCUCUAUCUUCUUCCCCGGAGGAUGGUUCCGUCGUGCUAUGCCUCUGCUGAAUCCUUGCAAUAGGAUCCACGUGAGUGGCGGGCGGAGUUGCGGUUGGAUCGGUGGAAGAAGGCGGGGAUCUGAGACGGCACCCUCCUCGAAGCUAUCUGCGUUCCUCUUCGCUUCGUCGGCGAGUGAGCCGCCGAGCACGAGCUCGCUUCCGCCCGCGGCGACCCGGGAGCCGAGGCAGCUGAGCACAUAGGGCGAGCAGAGGGAGGUGACGAUGCCUCUCUCGUGACGAAGCUGUGCCUGGGCGGAGGUGGGGCCCGUCGGCUGUGCUGGGUGGAGGCAGCGGCCGUCGACUUUGCCGCGACCAGCGAUUGGUCGUCAUUGCCACCGUCCGCCGGGACGGGGUCGAUGGUCUGGCGACAAUGACUGAAUGGACAGCACAAGUGUCAGUGCAGGCAGUGAUGAUAUAUAUCGAAAAGUAAAGGUACCAAAAGGAAACGGUAAAGGGAUCGGUAAUGCAUGCUGGUGUGAAGAAAGUACCAUAUGAUCAACGAACAUGAAGCCUAUCUCAUAGCGUUCAUGCUAAUUGUUCAUAUUGUCCCACAUCCGUGUGAUGCGCACAACAGAACGCCUCGGAGAUCCUCGAGAGACAGGAGAAACUACAGGUAAGACAGAAGAAGGAAUUACCAACGACAGCUGCAUCAGGAACCUCUUCAACAGGGUGCUUGCCUAACCCUAUCUCCCGCCUCCAAGCCUCUACCUGGAAGAAGCAACAGCGGACAAAGUUGAGGAGGCAAUGGAACGAUUAACGAUAGGUCCACCCUGGCCAAGAGCAUGAAGAAUCAGCAGUCUGACGACGCACAGUUGAAGAAGAGUGGAUAGAGCCAGCAAUCAGCAGAGGAGCACGAGAGGCAGCAGACAGAAAGGAACACGCACAGCUGGCAAAGAAGGGCCACAGCCAACAGCGGCAGCGGGAGCAACACCUUGCAGAUGAAGCUGCCGGCGUAGAGGUGGAUGAACCGAAGCGAAAAGUGACCGCCCACACGAACAACCAGAUCCCUGGUAUACACUCGCACCAGGCCACGUAACAGCCAGAAAAUUAGCAGCAAACAAGACGAAAACCUGAGACGGCAGAUGAUCGGAAGCAGCAGCAACAACCGAAUCAACAACUGGGGCGCCAACAACACCAGCGGCGGCAGAGAAGCCCGAGACGGCAGAUGAUCGGAGGCAGCAGCAACAACAACCGAAUCAACAACUGGGGCGCCAACAACACCAGCGGCGGCAGAGAAGUCUAGGGCACGCCCGCGGGAACACAAUGAGCAUUGAGCAAUGACCCAUCGACCCAAAAGACAGCUCAUCCAGGCCACGCCGGCUACACGGCGACGAAGACGGAUGCAAGGGCAUGGAUGACGGGAGCGGCGGCACAGACGGCGCAGGCAAUGGCAAGAACGGCAUCUGAGCAUGGAUAGAAGUUAAGUCCUCCAACCCAUGGGGCCGCGACAGAAGCAAAUGCAGAGGCGGCGGCCUCGCCCCGCCAUCCCUGCUCAUAUUGAAACCUGCAACAAAGAAGAUGAACUCAGCCAGGACAAAGAACUCAAAAUAUGAGGACAAAGAACGCAAAAUAUGAGGCAGAAGCAGAGGGAAACAAACGAUUAGAACCUGGCAAAACACAGAGGCAAAGAAAUCCGAAUGAGAAAGACGAAGAACAUGAUAAGGAAGAAACGCCGGAUUCACCGACGCAAUCCUGUAAGCUAGGUAUGGACUCGGAAAUUUAGGGAAAAGAAAAGCGGUUGAAAGAAGGAUGGAGAAAGAAGAUGGACACGUAAAAAAGAUACGUGUCAAUGAGAGGAUGCCCGUGGAAAUCCAAAGACAUGCACGAUCGGUGAAGACCAGGAGCACCGGAAAUUAGAGGUAAUCAGAAGGAAGGAAAAGAAGGAAACCGGCCCACAAUUUAUGGAUCCACCGGCUGGCUCCCGGUAACCGCGAGUUGUACACACGGAAAAAAAGGAGGAAAAGAAACAAAUCUGGCGCAUUUACAGGAACCGUUCGCGUGUGUGCAGUAAAAAGAGAGUACGUGUUUAAAUUUGAUUGGAGGAAAACGUGGAGGGAACAGUACCCAAAUUGAUCUCCUUCCAGUAAAAGGGUUCAACUUUGAUAUAGACUAGGAAGUGUGCGGCGCGGCGCACGCCGCGCCCGUGCUGUCUAGGAUGGAAGAAGAUUUUGUUGUUGAUGGUUUUUAUUGUCUGAAGAGAAACGUAACACUGGUGAUGAUAUGAGAGACAAAGCAUAAAUAAACUUAAGAAAGAAGAGAAACAAUUGUAUUGAUAACAGGGUGACUUGGAGAAGCCUGGUAACUAUGUAAUUUUAUCAAAAGAUGACUACACAAAUGUAACAUAUAUAAAUGGUGAACAAUAGAAGGAUUUUUUUUCUCUGCAAAAGUUUAUAACUGAAA